rnacentral:rRNA from 1 species
UACGUAGGGUGCGAGCGUUAAUCGGAAUUACUGGGCGUAAAGCGUGCGCAGGCGGUGAUGUAAGACAGAUGUGAAAUCCCCGGGCUCAACCUGGGACCUGCAUUUGUGACUGCAUCGCUAGAGUACGGUAGAGGGGGAUGGAAUUCCGCGUGUAGCAGUGAAAUGCGUAGAUAUGCGGAGGAACACCGGAUGGCGAAGGCAAUCCCUGGACCUCGUACUGACGCUCAUGCACGAAA